CAGGGUCUUGUUUAGUUGUGAUUUUUUUUUUGGAUUUCGCUACUGUAGCAAUUUCGUUUUUAUUUGACAAACAAUGUCCAAUCAUGGAGUAGUUAGGCUUAAAAAAUUCGUCUCGUGAUUUACAGACAAACUGUGUAAUUAGUUUUUGUUUUCAUCUAUAUUUAAUGUUUCAUGCAUAUGUCGUAAGAUUCGAUACAACGGGAAAUCUUGAAAAGUUUUUGGUUUUUUGGUAGUUGUAAACAAGGCACUAAAAAAUCUUGUAAACAUGAGACGGUUGUAUUAGGGCACUCACAAUGCAAGACUCUAUCACAGAGUCCAAGACAAUCAAUUACAUAUUAUUUAUGAUAUUUUGCUGAUGUGGC
rnacentral:lncRNA from 1 species